rnacentral:lncRNA from 1 species
GCCUUUUCACUGAUGGUUCACCAGUUGGGCGGCUCAAAUCUGAUUUAUUGGUCCUCCUAGGCGUCUGUUGAUGUUGGAAUAUCUGUUGUUCCUCUCCAGUUAUUGAGUUGGGGGCCAUUGUAAGAGAUUCAAGUGUUUGUUAUCUUAAUAACGGAUUAGCACCACACACAACCAACCCAGAUAUGCAUACAGAGAAGAACUAAAGCAGCAAAACCAGUCCUCAGUCCCCGAAACUACACCAUAUGAUUCAGAACAUAAUUUAGUAUGUACAGUAUAGAUAACCAAAUUGCAAGCCAAACCAUUAAAAGAGGCUAUAGGUAGCAACCAAAGCAUUGGAGAGAACACAUCAUAAUUCAGGAUCAAAGCAAACUAAGUUAGCCAAAGUGCAAGGCAUAAAGGAAUUGGUUAAAGGACCACAAAUGGGAGAAAGUUAUGUGGAGGUCAGACACAGUGCUAAAGGCAAAGAACCAAACACAACACACCACCAAGAAACCAUGUAAUUUCUGAAAUUCAAAACUCCGUUUCUGUCUCUCGCUUUUCCAAAGUUGAAAUUCGAAGGAGUAAGAAAAAGGAAGUGCUGAUUCUGAAUAUCCCAAAUGCUGUUCAAUUAGACGAGAAAAAAUAAAAAGCAGACCAAGUAAAAACAAAACAAAAAAGGCAGAACCUUGAGCAUGCCUAAGAACAGCUGGUAAAGCAAGCACCCUAAGAAGAACGUACCCAUCACAAACAAUUUCGUCAGAAGCAGAAGACCCAGAAACAAAUUUGGUGAUUGAUGGAUGAAUGAUCAGCAUAGGAAAAAACUGGAGAGAGGGUAAUUAGCAUCAUCUUACCAGGACGAACCAAGCAAGUCCCUUUUGUGAUAAUCUCUUCUGCCCAGUGGUGGCCACCAAUCAAAAGUGAUUCUGCAUUUCUUUCUUCACCACCCCACAACUGUUACUUCCUCUGGCAUUUAUGCUCGCUCUCUCUCUCUCUCUC